GAUGAAGAACGUGGCGAAAUGCGAUAAGUAAUGUGAAUUGCAGAAUUCAGUGAAUCAUCGAAUCUUUGAACGCACAUUGCGCCCCUUGGUAUUCCGAGGGGCAUGCCUGUUCGAGCGUCAUUAUAACCCCUCAAGCUCAGCUUGGUGUUGGGGCCUGCUGCACUGGCAGCCCUUAAAAUCAGUGGCGGCGCCAUCUGGCUCUAAGCGUAGUAAUUCUUCUCGCUAUGGAGUCCUGGUGGAUGCUUGCCAUCAACCCCCAAUUUUUCUAUGGUUGACCUCGGAUCAGGUAGGGAUACCCGCUGAACUUAAGCAUAUCAAUAAGCGGAGGA
rnacentral:misc_RNA from 1 species